rnacentral:tRNA from 1 species
GGCGUGGUGCCAGAGUGGUUAAUGGGUAUGACUCGAAUGGCAUAACGCCUGUCUGGAUAUCAUAUGGUUUCGGCCGCGUAGGUUCAAAUCCUGCCCACGUCG